rnacentral:lncRNA from 1 species
GAUAAAAUUUUUUAGGUGCAAUUGGUUGUAUACUUCUGAAAAGCUUUUAACUUUUCAAUUUAUCCUUCUUACAAGGUUAAUAUUAAAAAUAUUUGUUUUACAUUUCAACAUAUUUCAAAUAUACCACUAGAGUUAAAUUAUGUCAAUAAACAAUUAGCAAUAACAGUUAUAUGUAUAAAAUUACUAUUUUGUCCUUUUAAAUAUAUUAUUCUAUUAUCACUGACUUUUUCUAUUUUGCUACUUGCCCUUAAGCUAGGGGCACAAAAAGUAUUUUAAUUUUUUGUCUUUUCAAAUAUACCCUUCUACCAUCACCAAUAUUUCUUAUUUGUCCUUAAGUUAAGGGCAAAAGCGGUAUUUUAAUUUUUUUAACUCUAGUAAAUAUUUAACUGACAUUUAACUCAAAUAAACUUAACGAGUGAUAACUGCAGAGAUAUUUUAGAAUAACUGAGGAACAUAUAACGGGUAUAUUGGAAAGAAAAAAAAAAAAGUAGGGAUAAAUGAGGUAUUUUCAAAGUUUUCAGGAAUAUUUAGGCAAUUAUCAUAAUUUUUUAAUUCUAAGAAUAGAUAUCCUAUAUCUUUAUUUGUAAAACUAAGUCUAAGUGGUAAAGAAAAGUUAUAAAUAAUUUACCAUUUUUACUAAAUAUAUAUAUUUUUUAGGGGCAAUUGCUUAUAUACCCCUGAAAAGUUUCCGACUUUCCGAUUUACCCCUCUUAGAAGGCUAGUAUUGAAAAUACCCUUUUUACGUUCCAACCUAUUUCUAAUAUACCCCUAGAGUUAAAAUAUGUUAAUUAACUCUGUUAACUCUGUAAAACUACUAUUUUGUCCUUUCAAAUAUACCCUUCCACCAUCACUGACUUUCUUAUUUGCCCUUAAAAUCAGGGGCAUAAAAAGUAUUUUAACUUUUGGUCUUUUCCAAUAUACCCCUCUACCGUCACCAACAUUUCUUAUUUGCCCUUAAGUUAAGGGCAAAAUUGGCAUUUUAAUUUUUUUUAACUGUGGUAGAUGUUUAACUCACGUUUAACCCAAGUUAAUUUAACAGGAGAUAACUGCGGGGGUAUUUUGCAAUAACGGUGGAACAUAUGAGGGGUAUUUUAGAAAGAAAAAAAAAGUAGGGGUUAAUCGGAUAUUUUUAAACGUAUGAGAGGUAUAUAGACAAUUAUGCCUAUUUUUAUAUUAGAACUCUGAAAAAAUUAUAGAAUUAAGCUAUAAAAAUAAUUUCAAUGCUUCAAAGAAAACGGUGAAUAAUUUACCAUAUUUAAAAAAUGAUGAUUCAUUCAACGCAUAAGGUAAUUUUGUCAAUAAUUUUUUUAAAAAGAUUACUUUUAUAGUUAUAAUAUUGUUUAAAUCUAUUAGUAAAAAAAAACGUAGGCUAAUUUGCAUAAAAAAUUCGUCGGUUUUGCAUUUUUGCAAAAAUAGACUAUUUUUUAUAUAUUAAAUAUUAUGUAUGAAUUUUUAGUAAACUAAUCAAAAUAUCCUUAUUCCCCUUUCUCUCUCCUUUCUCUUUUGUUUAUUUUUCUCCUCCCUCUUUGCCUUCCCUCCUCACCGUUCCUCUAUUUUUUUUCUCCUCCUACUUCCUUUCCCUCUCUUCCUCCGCCCUAACGUCGAUGUUGCGCUUUUCUCUCCUGUGAAAGAUAUGCCUUCUUUUUAUUAGUUUGGUCCAUGUAGCAAGUCUAUAGAAUAACUAAAAUAAGAUCUCAAAUUGAUUCUUAUUGGAGUCCUAGUUGGACUAGACUUGAUAUCCAUACAAGACUCUAAUUCAUUGUUGACUUUGAAUUAGAAAAGCUUUAUCUAUAAUAUAUAAGACUAUUCCUAAUUGAAUUAGAGCAGGACUGCAUUUUCAUCUAUAUAUAUACAUAUGGAUGUACAGAUCUGUACAGUAGUAAGAGGUGUGCCCGGCAGCUUCCGCAUGCGACGACGGGUUAGGAGUUGGCAGAGGAGUGGUGGUUCUUCACUAAUUACCUUAGCAGUUCGGAUUCAUCGAAGCAACGGUAUAAAGGAUUUGGUCAAAGUUUUCUAUAUUCUCUAAUUUAAUUUUCUUGAUUUUAUGAAAAGCUUUUUCCAGUUAUUUCUUGAAGUUUUCGUUGGAACAAGAGAAAGGUAGGAUUCACCAUAAGUGUAAGGACUGAGAUUUUGAUAGUGCAAUUAGACUCUCUGUUGAUGAUGUUUAGAUCAGAGCGAGGUUACAACCACAACACCAUUCACAGGUUGUUUUGAAAAGUAAAUGAAACUGAACCAUUAGUUAGGUUGACCCUUAGGAAGACCUACGGUAUAUAGGCAUGUGAGUGCGGGGUUUGGGCUUGUGUCCCUGUGUGCAUUCGAGUUUGGUAAACUCGAAGUGCAUGGUGUUUCUGUACGUGUUACGGUUCGCACAAGCUGGUGUCUAAGUCGGGGGUUGUGGCGGUGUACUUAUUCGGACAUCGAGUGGUGGGGCGACAUUCCCCAGGUGUUGCCACUCCUGUCAAGUGGGGCCUUGAAGGGCCAAGUGAGAUUUUCGGGCCUAGGCGAGUGUUAUAACCGCCGACGCCCAGGCCACUCUCUCAACUUAGGACACGAGAGCUACUGCGAGUGUCUCUACGGAGAUGGUACUUAGACCUGCUAAGGUCGCAACUUCAGUGGGGCUACUAGGGUGUAGCCCAGGGUUUGGAUAGCGGUCGUUUCGGCGACUGCAUUGUUAGUGUUACUUCCGCAGACCUUUGGGUAGGGUUGUGAUGCCUACCUAUCCUCCUUGAUUGCUGAUUGGAAUCAGCGGUUCGAAUCUUUGACCUUGAACUCGUUCAUUCUUCCUACUAGAGUCGGAUUGACACAGUUUUGGUGUCAAGUUUUCGUUGAGGCAUACAUCGUAUGCGGUUAUUCUAACACCUAAAUUGGUGUGUUGUGGGUUAGUUGUAGUUGGUGAUAGGUUUCGUCUAGAUUCGAGAUAUUCCAGGGUCGUUCUAAUUUUGAAUGUCGACUUGUAAAGUCGAUGUUUUGAUAGUAUCGGUUGUGAACUUCUGGUUCAGUGGAAAGGUAUCAAGUGACUUGAUACUUUAUCGCGUUGUGCUUCUAACUUAUUGUUGGUAGUGGAUCUUCGGAUAUUUCGCUUUUCUUUUGAUAAGUAUAUUGGCUGCAGACAAUAUACUGUCGAAAGAGGGACGAAAUACUUUUUUUUCCUGUUUGGGACUUCUGGAUUGGGUCGAUGUGUUCUCUAGACUGUUUUGUGGGAAAAGCUCGAGAGAUAGUCAUCUUUGACCACGUAGCGAGCCUUGGAUUAUUCCUUGGCAGGUUUUGCACAGUUGACUUAUCGUCAUUUCUGAUGGUUUCGACUUUGGUCCGAGUCUAGGUCAUCGUUAGUCCUAUUAUUGUGCCUUCCACAGAUAAGAGUUUCUUGGUUAGUAGUAUCGGUCUGUUGUCGUGAAGUUCGAAAUCAGUGGAUGAGUGACUUGAGCCUGGUGGUUGGUCUUUGAUUGUCACCAUAACUGAUAACGUAAAAGGGUUUGCCACUUGGCUUAUCGUGCAAACCUUGGGUUAGCUUGCUUGUCCGGUUAUUUGGUGACAGGUGCGCCUGGGUCUCAAGGAGACAGACAUUUGGUGUUGCUGGGAACAUCGAUCGCUAGGGUCCAUGGUUGGACGGCAGCGACAGGGUCUUGUGGAGACCAGUGUUGAGCAUCACCGAGGGUUGGUAUCGCAUGGUGCGAUUGGCGACCUGUGCAUCAAGUGAUGGACUUGCAAGAGUAUUUGGUGGUCGGUUGGUACCGGAUUAAGUUUGAGGAGACAAAAUUGUCUAGCUUAUUUGGUGUUGUCAGUUGGACCUUUUUGGUCAGGUGGAAAGUGAGGUCUUGGACCUAGGACUAUAAAUUGUCGCAGGUGACUUUACGUUGAUGAGGUUGGCAGUCUGUGUGGUCACUGGUAGGAGACUGUGGUCUCCAAAGCGAGAGUUUUGACUCAGGUCUUAUAACAACGUUUCGUAUUCGCUCAUGGUGAGCAGGCUGACGUUGUUAGAUAGUCGGAGUUUUCGUUUCAGUCUACGUGAAUAGACUCCAGAUUAAAGUGGUGUUGACUCGAGUCUCUUCUACGUGAACCUUCGACGUAGUCGAGUCGGUUACUGGUGUGCGGACCAAGGUUGAGUGGACCUAGAAUUUCUGAGUGUUGAAGUGUUAUCUCAGAAUUGGCAAAGUUGGAAUUGACGAAACCUAACCAUGGGACUGUUUUUGUCCGCAGGUUAUAAGAUGGUGUUGAUCCCGGUGAGUUUUGGUCUGUAGAUUUUGGGUCGAAACGUCUUCCCCUCGUUUUGUCCGAGUAGAACUCCAGUCCUAUUCUUCCCUUAUUCGGAGAUUGAUCUGUCCAAAUUCGCGGAAAUGUAAUUGACCAGUACUCAAGGGUGAUAUUGUAGUGGUGAAGCAAUAUCCGAAUUCGAUUUCGGUGGGUAUGUGGUCAAGUUUCGGGGACGAAACUUCUUUUAAGGGGGGGAUAAUGUAAGGACUGAGAUUUUGAUAGUGCAAUUAGACUCUCUGUUGAUGAUGUUUAUGUGUGUAAUUUAAUUACAUAAGCAUUCGUCAAGUUUCAGGAGAAAAUGAGUUAGAACGGAGAAGUUACGCGAUUAUUAGUUUUCACUUAAGUGAAUAGUAACUCCGGUUUUUCGGAGAAGCCACGGAGUAGAGUUGGCUUUCGGCGCGUAUCGGACUCCGUUCAUAGCGAUCCAAUAGCUCGUUUCGACCGGUUCAGCUGUUCUGGAACUACUGGCGUUGACGGAUUUUGAGUUUGACGCACGGAUUUCGAGAAAAUCCAAAAAUACGUGUUUUAUAUGUAUUUUGUGCGUAGUUUCUUCUGUUGGAGAGAGGAACGGAUUUCGUUGCGAAUCCGUGAUCGUUCGAGGUGAACCAAAAUCGUAGCUUUGUUGUCUCUGAGGUGCUGAUCGUACUGGUGCGAUCCGUUCGCAAAUCUGACGGACGGAUCUGCGGAGAUCGCGCGUUGAUCGAGGAGAGGUCGGUGUUGGCAAAACGAUAUUUUCGCAAAAGUCGCGACAUUUUAUGUACCGUUUCGCGUGAAAUCGCACGUGGAGGGGUAUUCGCGCGUUUUACUUGUGCUGUGAGGGACUAGGAACAAAUUGUUGAGUCUUGGUGGACUUUUUCGCAAAGUUUCUCCUUGGUAUAGAUUCAUUCUAGGGUUUUCUUGGAACCCUAACCCGACUAGCCACUUCCAGCAAACCCUAGCCGCCCCCUUGCUUCCCUUGCCCUAGCCGCUCGCCUUCCGGUCGCUGCCGACCAAGUCCGGCCGGCCGCCGCCGCCGCAGCACCACAUUCCUCCCUCUCCAUCUCUCUCCAUCUCCUUUUUCUUCCGGGUUGGAGCUCGGGCCGAGGUUAUAUUGUCUCAAGGCACCUUGUCGACGUCGCCCCGACCCCUCGGCGUCCCUCUCCGCCGAUCGCCGCCGCCCCGAGCCGCCCGGAGCGCCGCCGCUGCCGCUCCAGCCGCUGCUGUAUCCUGCAGCUUCCCAGCCCGAGCCCAGGCCGAGUCUAACCCGCGGCCUCCCCGCGCGCAGCCACUGCAUGAACCCGCUCCCGCCGCCGUCCCCGGAGUCUCGGUGGCCCUCCCCGCAGGUCGCCGGCGCCCCUGCGGGCCGCCACCGCCGCCUCGGCCAGCAGCAGCCGCCCCAGCCCGAGCUCGGGCUGAGGUCUCUGUGCGCCCUCUCCUCCGCGCCGCAGCCACCUGGGGUCGCUCCCGCGGCCGUCUCCUGUGUCCCACCGACCUUCCCGGCCGGUCGCCGCCGCCCUUCGGGCCGCCGCCGCCGCCCUGAACCCUGGGCGCCGCCGCCCAGGUCUGCAACCGAGCCUAGCUCGAGCGGCAGCGCUCGAGCCGUGGGCUGCCGCUGCUGCCGCCCGCCGCCUCCCUUCUCCUCCUCCGGCAUCUGGGGACCCGCCGCUGUCGUCCCCGACCUGUCCCGGCCAUCGCCGUCGCUGGGAGGAGCCGCUGGACCGUGCCCUAGCUUGUGCGGGCUCGGCUCGUUCCGCCGUCGCCGCCGCCACUCUCCGCCGCCAACCGAGGUGAGCAUCGUGUUCCUCACCUCCCCCGCACCCAUCUCUGGCCUGCGCGCACCUCGGCGUGCCGCCGGAAGCCGGCCGGAGCAACCUUGCUCCGGCCAAGCCCGAAAUAGGGCUUAAUUUGAAUGCUUUACUGUUCCGAGCAACCCGAGCCUCCCCGAUCUCUGCGGAAGGGAGCACGAUGAUCGUAGUAAAUUUCUGAUCAUCGUGCUCACCUUAUUUUCUGUCGGGGAGACUCCGUUCCGCUUUUUCGGCAUUGUCGACCCUGUAGAGCCUGUUUGGCUGCUGUUGCGGGUUUGCACACACUUUGGCGGUGAUCCGAGGCUGUCCCGAUGCCUCUGGAGGUGAGCACGGUGAUCGUGGAUCAGUGCUGAUCACAGUGCUCACCUUAUUUUGGAUCAGCGGAUGUCGUAUCGUUCUGUUUGGUGACUUUUUCCCCGACUACGCGCUGUUCGCAGAACCUUCGGGUUGCUCCCGCGCUUCCCACAGUGACCUGUUGCGCUCCAGACCGUGAGCACGGCCUCCGGCACGUCGAGACCUAUCAGUAUGUGUCUCAGCAGAACUUAGAAGUCCUCGGUUUGCGUGUACGGGCUAUGUUAUUGCCCGAUUUACAUAAAAUAUUGGGAUUUUAUGUAAAUUCAGGGGCUUUUGUGCAAUUGUGCGCCUUGGGGCUACUGUGGACAGUGUGUAGACAUGUGUGGUGUUCUCUGGACUGAUUGUCCAUGAUCCGUUAGCUUUUGCAGAAAUCGAAGAGUCGAUUUCGACGCGUUUUUCGGCGAAAUUCGCCCAAAGAACGCGGUUUUGGUUCGGAUUUCUUCCGACGUCGUUUGGUUGCUCUGUGAGUGGUCGAUAAGCCUUGUUGGCUGGUCACCAUCAUCACCUUGUGGGUUCGGUGAUGACGGGUGAGCGACGGUGGGUUCCGGUGUCGAAUUUGACACUUCCGGGAACCCGUAUUCGUACAAUUAUCCGGCAAUAAUUGUGUCGUGGUGUUAUCUUAUGUUUGCUGCCAAAACAUCCAAAUUGGAGUGUUUUGUGGCAGCGGGUGACUCGUGGCAUGAGUCGGUGCCUUCCGAGAUAGUUAGUGGGUCCCGACGGAGUCCCGGUGCGAUUUUCGGGACUUCCGGCGAGUUACGGUAGUCGGUUUUAGGAAACUGAUCUCCGUGGGUUUGUUAGAGGGAUUAUGAUGUAGUGUUUCUUAGUUGUGGGUUAGACACUAACCCAGUGGACCUUCCUUAGGUCCCGUUGACGUUCUUUUGCAGUCAGGUGACAGGCGCGACAGUUGUACAGGUGGGUACUUCGAUCCGACGUUGGUACAGUGGUGCACGCUCGGUGAUGGUUUCUUACCCUUGUUCUUUUGUUAUUAUCCAUGCAUAUAUUAUAUAUUGAGCUUUGCACCUCUAUCGUUUACAUUACACCCACGUUGUUUGAUUAUACUCUACUCAGACGUUUCCAUGCUUAGUAUCAUGUGUAGGAGUAUAAUCUAUCUGUAUGUGAUACCAUGUUUUCUUGUUGCUCUACUUAGCUAUUCUGCAUACCCUGAUUCAUGUUUAUAGUAGAGCGAUUCCGUGAUUAUCUAUGAGAUCAGCGAUCUAGUCGGUCGAUUCUAGUAUUCAGUAAUUGUGACCUAUUCGGUGAGUUCUUCGACCUUUGUUGUCUGAUGACCGUUAAGGUCGGUAUACCCUGAGGGGUGGGAUUGUCGGUUAGUUGCCGACGGAUGAUUAUACCUUACUCAUAUUCACUAUUUGACAUGUUUGUGACCUAGUCGGUCAGUACAUCAUAUCCUAUACUUGUGACAUGAUUGGUCGAGUUUUAUAUCCUAGUUGAUCUAAGUGGUUAGUCCUUGUGGUUCAUUGAGCAGUAUUUGCAUAUAUUUGAGAGGAUGUCGAUGUUAUCCCAUCCUAGUUGACCUGAGUGGUCGGUUCUUGUGCUUCCUUACAGUUGAUGACCUAUGCGGUCGAUGGGCCCUGGGGGGCAGGAUUGUCGGCUGGUUGCUGACGGUUGAUCAUUGACCAUAUUGCAUUGAUCGCCCGAUACUCGUCGCAUUUCACGAACACUGGCGGUCUGAUCCACCGCAAGGAGUGUUCUUUUCCGAAAAAGUGGUUGAAUGGUGACAACCCGUGAGCCCUAAAGGGGUUAUAUGCAUGUUAGAGCGGCAGUGGUACUGUCGGGAGGUGUUGCGGUGCGGACCUCCAGGGCAUUGGCUUGAGGUCUGCGGUGCUGACCAAGAGAGCAUUGGUUUCAGAUUGGGUACUUUUGGACUGAUUGUCCCAUUGACGCAUAUGUUUAUAGUAGCAGUCGUUGCAUGCAUACUCACAGAUCUUACUUUAUAGUUGUCUUGCUACUAUAGUAGAUAUUCAUGUAUGCUUUCUGUUCCAGUUACAGUAGCGGUAGCCGUUUAUUCAGUAUAGUUCUUACUUCCUUUCAGUUUAUCGCUAUUGUAUAUCUGCUCAUUACCUUGUUUAUUUCCACUGACCCAUGUUGUUGUAUAGUUCUUCCUGAUCCGGUGAGUACUCCUCGUCUUCUUCGGCUUGCGGUACCCACUGGGAGGGAAGACAUGUUUACAUGUUCUCACCUCCCCCACCAUUUUUCAGGUAUCGCGAGCGAUGAGUAGUGGGACGAGACGUGAGGUACAUGUGUAGCGGUCGAUAGAGCUUCCGACCCAGGUUAUUUCGAUUUAGUUAUUAUCCUUGGUAUUUCUGUUGAUAUAUAGUUUAGUUAGUUUAUGUGGUUCAGUAUUUAUUUACAUUUGAAAAUGUGGAUUUCUGGAUUUUGUAAAAUAAAAGGUUUUCUACCCCUCGUGGUAGCGUUUUUAAANNNNNNNNNNNNNUUAUCCUUGGUAUUUCUGUUGAUAUAUAGUUUAGUUAGUUUAUGUGGUUCAGUAUUUAUUUACAUUUGAAAAUGUGGAUUUCUGGAUUUUGCAAAAUAAAAGGUUUUCUACCCCUCGUGGUAGUGUUUUUAAAAGAAUAAAGGUUUCUGUGUAGGAAACAGUUUUCAAAAGAUUUUUGUGGAUUUCUGUUUAAACCUUGAAUGUAAAACUGUGAUGUGAAUGGUGAAUGUAUGAAUGUAUAGUUAUUUUUAUAUUCAUCUGAUUGUGGUUGUAUCCUGGUUGUACUGUGUAUUUGAU